rnacentral:rRNA from 1 species
UUAAGUUAUUAAGGGCGCACGGUGGAUGCCUUGGCACUAGAAGCCGAUGAAGGACGUUACUAACGACGAUAUGCUUUGGGGAGCUGUAAGUAAGCUUUGAUCCAGAGAUUUCCGAAUGGGGAAACCCAGCAUGAGUUAUGUCAUGUUAUCGAUAUGUGAAUACAUAGCAUAUCAGAAGGCACACCCGGAGAACUGAAACAUCUUAGUACCCGGAGGAAGAGAAAGAAAAUUCGAUUCCCUUAGUAGCGGCGAGCGAAACGGGAAGAGCCCAAACCAACAAGCUUGCUUGUUGGGGUUGUAGGACACUCUAUACGGAGUUACAAAGGACGACAUUAGACGAAUCAUCUGGAAAGAUGAAUCAAAGAAGGUAAUAAUCCUGUAGUCGAAAAUGUUGUCUCUCUUGAGUGGAUCCUGAGUACGACGGAGCACGUGAAAUUCCGUCGGAAUCUGGGAGGACCAUCUCCUAAGGCUAAAUACUCUCUAGUGACCGAUAGUGAACCAGUACCGUGAGGGAAAGGUGAAAAGCACCCCGGAAGGGGAGUGAAAUAGAACCUGAAACCGUGUGCUUACAAGUAGUCAGAGCCCGUUAAUGGGUGAUGGCGUGCCUUUUGUAGAAUGAACCGGCGAGUUACGAUUUGAUGCAAGGUUAAGCAGUAAAUGUGGAGCCGUAGCGAAAGCGAGUCUGAAUAGGGCGUUUAGUAUUUGGUCGUAGACCCGAAACCAGGUGAUCUACCCUUGGUCAGGUUGAAGUUCAGGUAACACUGAAUGGAGGACCGAACCGACUUACGUUGAAAAGUGAGCGGAUGAACUGAGGGUAGCGGAGAAAUUCCAAUCGAACCUGGAGAUAGCUGGUUCUCUCCGAAAUAGCUUUAGGGCUAGCCUCAAGUGAUGAUUAUUGGAGGUAGAGCACUGUUUGGACGAGGGGCCCCUCUCGGGUUACCGAAUUCAGACAAACUCCGAAUGCCAAUUAAUUUAACUUGGGAGUCAGAACAUGGGUGAUAAGGUCCGUGUUCGAAAGGGAAACAGCCCAGACCACCAGCUAAGGUCCCAAAAUAUAUGUUAAGUGGAAAAGGAUGUGGCGUUGCCCAGACAACUAGGAUGUUGGCUUAGAAGCAGCCAUCAUUUAAAGAGUGCGUAAUAGCUCACUAGUCGAGUGACACUGCGCCGAAAAUGUACCGGGGCUAAACAUAUUACCGAAGCUGUGGAUUGUCCUUUGGACAAUGGUAGGAGAGCGUUCUAAGGGCGUUGAAGCAUGAUCGUAAGGACAUGUGGAGCGCUUAGAAGUGAGAAUGCCGGUGUGAGUAGCGAAAGACGGGUGAGAAUCCCGUCCACCGAUUGACUAAGGUUUCCAGAGGAAGGCUCGUCCGCUCUGGGUUAGUCGGGUCCUAAGCUGAGGCCGACAGGCGUAGGCGAUGGAUAACAGGUUGAUAUUCCUGUACCACCUAUAAUCAUUUUAAUCGAUGGGGGGACGCAGUAGGAUAGGCGAAGCGUGCGAUUGGAUUGCACGUCUAAGCAGUAAGGCUGAGUAUUAGGCAAAUCCGGUACUCGUUAAGGCUGAGCUGUGAUGGGGAGAAGACAUUGUGUCUUCGAGUCGUUGAUUUCACACUGCCGAGAAAAGCCUCUAGAUAGAAAAUAGGUGCCCGUACCGCAAACCGACACAGGUAGUCAAGAUGAGAAUUCUAAGGUGAGCGAGCGAACUCUCGUUAAGGAACUCGGCAAAAUGACCCCGUAACUUCGGGAGAAGGGGUGCUCUUUAGGGUUAACGCCCAGAAGAGCCGCAGUGAAUAGGCCCAAGCGACUGUUUAUCAAAAACACAGGUCUCUGCUAAACCGUAAGGUGAUGUAUAGGGGCUGACGCCUGCCCGGUGCUGGAAGGUUAAGAGGAGUGGUUAGCUUCUGCGAAGCUACGAAUCGAAGCCCCAGUAAACGGCGGCCGUAACUAUAACGGUCCUAAGGUAGCGAAAUUCCUUGUCGGGUAAGUUCCGACCCGCACGAAAGGCGUAACGAUUUGGGCACUGUCUCAACGAGAGACUCGGUGAAAUCAUAGUACCUGUGAAGAUGCAGGUUACCCGCGACAGGACGGAAAGACCCCGUGGAGCUUGACUGUAGCCUGAUAUUGAAAUUCGGCACAGCUUGUACAGGAUAGGUAGGAGCCUUUGAAACGUGAGCGCUAGCUUACGUGGAGGCGCUGGUGGGAUACUACCCUAGCUGUGUUGGCUUUCUAACCCGCACCACUUAUCGUGGUGGGAGACAGUGUCAGGCGGGCAGUUUGACUGGGGCGGUCGCCUCCUAAAAGGUAACGGAGGCGCUCAAAGGUUCCCUCAGAAUGGUUGGAAAUCAUUCAUAGAGUGUAAAGGCAUAAGGGAGCUUGACUGCGAGACCUACAAGUCGAGCAGGGUCGAAAGACGGACUUAGUGAUCCGGUGGUUCCGCAUGGAAGGGCCAUCGCUCAACGGAUAAAAGCUACCCCGGGGAUAACAGGCUUAUCUCCCCCAAGAGUUCACAUCGACGGGGAGGUUUGGCACCUCGAUGUCGGCUCAUCGCAUCCUGGGGCUGUAGUCGGUCCCAAGGGUUGGGCUGUUCGCCCAUUAAAGCGGUACGCGAGCUGGGUUCAGAACGUCGUGAGACAGUUCGGUCCCUAUCCGUCGUGGGCGUAGGAAAUUUGAGAGGAGCUGUCCUUAGUACGAGAGGACCGGGAUGGACAUACCUCUGGUGUACCAGUUGUCGUGCCAACGGCAUAGCUGGGUAGCUAUGUGUGGACGGGAUAAGUGCUGAAAGCAUCUAAGCAUGAAGCCCCCCUCAAGAUGAGAUUUCCCAACUUCGGUUAUAAGAUCCCUCAAAGAUGAUGAGGUUAAUAGGUUCGAGGUGGAAGCAUGGUGACAUGUGGAGCUGACGAAUACUAAUCGAUCGAAGACUUAAUCAA